CAGCAGUGCCACGGUAAUACGAAGGGUGCAAGCGUUACUCGGAAUUACUGGGCGUAAAGCGUGCGUAGGUGGUGGUUUAAGUCCGUUGUGAAAGCCCUGGGCUCAACCUGGGAAUUGCAGUGGAUACUGGGUCACUAGAGUGUGGUAGAGGAUAGUGGAAUUUCCGGUGUAGCAGUGAAAUGCGUAGAGAUCGGAAGGAACAUCUGUGGCGAAGGCGACUAUCUGGGCCAACACUGACACUGAGGCACGAAAGCGUGGGGAGCAAACAGGAUUAGAUACCCCUGUAGUCCCUGUCUCUUAUACA
rnacentral:rRNA from 1 species